rnacentral:lncRNA from 1 species
UAUGGAUAUCCAUACAGAGCUGAUGCAAAUCAGAAGCGUCUAAGAUCAUUGAGAUGCUAGCUCUCUUGCAAAUCUUCCUCUUUUAAAUUGGAUCUCCUUCUUCGAUUUUCGUAGAAGACAAUCUGAAGAUGUAUACACGAUCUUCUUUUGCGUAGGAUUGGAAAAAAUAGAGAUACAAUGAGAGAACUCAUCUCCCUUUCCUUUUUCUCUCACCCUCUCUGAUUUUUCUCUCUCUUUGUUG